UACAGAGGUCUCAAGCGUUGUUCGGAUUCAUUGGGCGUAAAGGGUGCGUAGGCGGCGUGGUAAGUCGGAUGUGAAAUCUCGGAGCUUAACUCCGAAAACUGCAUUCGAUACUGCCGUGCUUGAGGACUGGAGAGGAGACUGGAAUUUACGGUGUAGCGGUGAAAUGCGUAGAUAUCGUAAGGAAGACCAGUGGCGAAGGCGGCUUCCCUGGUCCAGCACCGACGUUCAGGCACGAAAGCGUGGGGGAGCAAAACAGG
rnacentral:rRNA from 1 species